GGCGGCGUGCUUAACACAUGCAAGUCAAACGGGUGGUAACACCAGUGGCGCACGGGUGAGUAAUGCAUGGGUCAUCUGCCUCGUAGAGGGGGAUAACUACGCGAAAGUGUAGCUAAUACCGCAUACGCAGGAGACUGCAAAGGAGGGGACCGCAAGGCCUUCCGCUACGAGAUGAGCUCAUGUCCCAUUAGCUUGUUGGCGGGGUAACAGCCCACCAAGGCGAAGAUGGGUAGCUGGUCUGAGAGGACGAUCAGCCACACUGGAACUGAGACACGGUCCAGACUCCUACGGGAGGCAGCAGUGGGGAAUAUUGCGCAAUGGGCGAAAGCCUGACGCAGCAACGCCGCGUGAGUGAUGAAGGCCUUCGGGUUGUAAAGCUCUUUCGGUUGGGAAGAAGGGGGUGCGUACUAAUACUACGUACAUUUGAUGGUACCAAAAGAAGAAGCACCGGCUAACUUCGUGCCAGCAGCCGCGGUAAUACGAAGGGUGCGAGCGUUGUUCGGAAUGACUGGGCGUAAAGGGUUCGUAGGCGGGAGAGCAAGUUAAGUGUGAAAUCCCCAGGCUCAACCUGGGACGUGCAUUUAAAACUGCUUUUCUUGAGUCGAGGAGAGGGUGAUGGAAUUGCUGGUGUA
rnacentral:rRNA from 1 species